UCAGGCGGGCGCGGAGCGGCGCGGAGUGACAAAGCCGCCGCUGCCGCCGCCGGGGGUGGGAGCAGCGCUCGCCCGCCCGCCCCUCGAUUCGCGAGGGCGUAAAAGUUUGUCUCAGCUCGAGCAUUCCUAGUGCCAACAUGCCCUCAGGUAAAGGUGGAAGUAAAUGGCCACGCUGUAUUGACAGAGGUAGAUGAAAGUCAAGAGAAAAGGUGUGGAUAAAUGAAACUAGCCCAUGAUAAGCCUGUUUUCUCCGUGACCACAAUAUGAAGCAGGAUGAUGGUGGUGGCAGUGGGCUUGCAUCACAGGUUGCAGCAGAUGUUCUCAAUAUCUCUAUUAAAAUUUCCUUAUUUCCGUAUGUGAGAGGAGCUCCAGAGCUGCAUCCUUAUGGUAGCUACCAUGCCGUGGUAGGUGAUGCUGUACUUUUCUGCAUCAUCCUUCCUGUCCUAAC
rnacentral:lncRNA from 1 species